rnacentral:rRNA from 1 species
CCUACGGGAGGCAGCAGUGGGGAAUAUUGGGCAAUGGGCGCAAGCCUGACCCAGCAACGCCGCGUGAAGGAAGAAGGCUUUCGGGUUGUGAACUUCUUUUAUCAGGGACGAAGCAAGUGACGGUACCUGAUGACUAAGCCACGGCUAACUACGUGCCAGCAGCCGCGGUAAUACGUAGGUGGCAAGCGUUAUCCGGAUUUACUGGGUGUAAAGGGCGUGUAGGCGGGAGUGCAAGUCAGAUGUGAAAACUAUGGGCUCAACCCAUAGCCUGCAUUUGAAACUGUACUUCUUGAGUGCUGGAGAGGCAAGCGGAAGUCCGUGGGUAGCGGUGAAAUGCGUAGAUAUACGGAGGAACACCAGUGGCGAAGGCGGAUUGCUGGACAGUAACUGACGCUGAGGCGCGAAAGCGUGGGGAGCAAACAGGAUUAGAUACCCGUGUAGUC